rnacentral:lncRNA from 1 species
UGCAUUAUUAAAUAAAAAUAAAACAACCCUAUGAAUCAGUCAAAAUUUAUUUAAAGCAACAGUUAAAACUUAAAAGUAUACGUUGAGGUCCCCUCAUUUCUUCUGUAAUCAUAUUCAAAAAACAAUGAUAUGAAGCACGAUGAGUGAGAUAGGCACAAAUUGGAUUGCGCCACUCCACCAAUAAUACUGAUCCAACAGCACCGAAGGAGGGCCAAGGCAAGUUAACGUGUUGGAUUCUCGUUGGACCACUCGGUAAUCUGCUAAUGGGCCAUUUAAUUGAAGUCAAGUUUCAGUUUUUCCCUAGUCAAAUAAUUCAUCAAUCACUUAUUUGUUUUUACUGAAUUAAAAGUAAAAAUAAAAUAAAUAAAAAUCGAUUUUCUGUCAUCAAAUCACAUCCAUUCAAUUUUUACUGAAUUAAAAAUAAAUAAAAAACAAAACCACCUUUUAAUGGUAUAAGCAGCACUUUGAUUUCCUCUUGUGAAGAUGUAUUUAAAAUUUAUGUGACCAGCAUUGUAGGACCAAAUUUAAAACAAACCCAAAGCCCAACAGAUUACCCAAAAUCUAACCCACAUCUCUCAGCCCAAUAUACAAAACAAAACACAAGCCCACAUAAUACCUAGCCCAAAUACCAAUAAAACAAAAAAGGAAAUGAGAAACCCAGCAUCAGGGAAGCCAGCGCCGCAAGCCUGAAUCCGGGCUCCGCACGUCGCGCAACUCCGAGUCGUGCGCCACACCACCUCCCCGCGAUCUCCGCUUGGCACCAGCAAGCACGCAACAAGUAGUUAGAAAUUAGGCUAUAUAAACUCGUUUAAACAGUGUAUUUUUUUUUACAUUUUUUUUGGAUUUAAAAAAGAGAAUAUACGAACAAAUACCACAAGACACAGAGGAAAAUCGCAGAGAAAUUGAUUGUUAGGUGAUUUUCUUUCAGAUCUCACACCUUUUAAGUUUCGAUUUGUUUUUCUUUCUCAAAAAUAGUACUAGAAAGGGGAAAAAUGAAUACACUUACCGCGUGUUUUAAAACGGGGUUGAAACCCCUAUUGCGCGAUGUCGGCCACUAGAUCUGGUGGUGGUCCGGCGAUGAUGGGCGCGUUCACUGGUCCUAGCAGAGGGAAGAAGGGUGAAAGCCCCUUUGUUUUUUCCAGUUUCGGCAAAUGGGUUGGUAAAUGGGGUGUUUUAAUUUUGCUUUAGAAAAUGGCAGACAACCCUUUGGUUUUUCUGGUUUUAAUUGCAAAGGGAAUAGCGCCACUUUACUUUUUUGGUUUUAUUCUGCUUUUGAUCCUUCUGUGAUUUCUAUCUUUUCAAUGUUUU